rnacentral:rRNA from 1 species
GCAAGUCGAACGAGAUUCUAUUCUUCGGAAUAGAUGAAAGUGGCGCACGGGUGCGUAACGCGUAUGCAACCUACCCUUAACAGGGGGAUAGCCCAGAGAAAUUUGGAUUAAUACCCCAUAGUACUACAAGAUGGCAUCUAAAAGUAGUUAAAGAUUUAUCGGUUAAGGAUGGGCAUGCGUGACAUUAGAUAGUUGGUGAGGUAACGGCUCACCAAGGCAACGAUGUCUAGGGGUUCUGAGAGGGGGAUC